AACGCACCUUGCACCCUUUGGCAUUCCGAAGGGUAUGCUCGUUUGAGUGUCAUUGUACUCUCACACUUCUGAUCUUUUGGGUCGGGAGCGGUGGACUUGGGUGUUGCUGCUUUACUGUGGCUCACCUCAAAUGCAUUAGUGCAACUCUUGGUUGGACAUAGUACGGCGUGAUAAGUAUCUUCGCCGGCACCUCGCAAGAGGGUGGCUGAUCAGGAGCUCUGUGCUUUCCAACUGUCUUCAGACAACAACUGACAACUUGACCUCAAAUCGAGUAGGACCACCCGCUGAACUUAA
rnacentral:misc_RNA from 1 species